UAACCUGUUUUUCCACUUGGAUAGGUUGGGUACGUUAACAUUUAGGAAGCCAACGAUGCCGACAUGGCUGUGUGUUCAUUCUAUCUUGGAAUGUCUGGUUUCACUUUUUAAACGCUGUGUUCUAUCAAAUUGAAAAACUAUGGCCCGUUGAUGGAGGACCAUGUCAGCUUUUCCUUCUCUGUGAUCUUUCCGGUACGCCAAUAAUACGUGGUAGGAGGGGUUUGAAAGCAAUUAGAGAGAAGAAUCAAGGAAAAAGGGAAUGCACGCAUGUAACUUUCAUAUUUUAGGUUGAAGUCAGGCAUAGAC
rnacentral:lncRNA from 1 species